GCGGCAGGCUUAACACAUGCAAGUCGAGCGGGCAUCUUCGGAUGUCAGCGGCAGACGGGUGAGUAACACGUGGGAACGUACCCUUCGGUUCGGAAUAACGCUGGGAAACUAGCGCUAAUACCGGAUACGCCCUUUUGGGGAAAGGUUUACUGCCGAAGGAUCGGCCCGCGUCUGAUUAGCUAGUUGGUGGGGUAACGGCCUACCAAGGCGACGAUCAGUAGCUGGUCUGAGAGGAUGAUCAGCCACACUGGGACUGAGACACGGCCCAGACUCCUACGGGAGGCAGCAGUGGGGAAUAUUGGACAAUGGGCGCAAGCCUGAUCCAGCCAUGCCGCGUGAGUGAUGAAGGCCUUAGGG
rnacentral:rRNA from 1 species